rnacentral:tRNA from 1 species
AGCCCUGGUCUUGUAAACCAGAUGUCGUAGGUUAAAAUCCUCCCUACUGCU